rnacentral:rRNA from 1 species
AGUGAACGCUGGCGGCAGGCCUAAUACAUGCAAGUCGAACGGCAGCACAGCAGAGCUUGCUCUGUGGGUGGCGAGUGGCGGACGGGUGAGGAAUACGUGGGAAUCUGCCCAGUCGUGGGGAUAACGUAGGGAAACUUACGCUAAUACCGCAUGCGCCCUUCGGGGGAAAGCCGGGGACCUUCGGGCCUGGCGCGAUUGGAUGAGCCCACGUCGGAUUAGCUAGUUGGCGGGGUAAAGGCCCACCAAGGCGACGAUCCGUAGCUGGUCUGAGAGGAUGAUCAGCCACACUGGAACUGAGACACGGUCCAGACUCCUACGGGAGGCAGCAGUAGGGAAUAUUGGACAAUGGGCGCAAGCCUGAUCCAGCCAUGCCGCGUGAGUGAAGAAGGCCCUCGGGUUGUAAAGCUCUUUUGUCCGGAAAGAAAAGCGCCGGGUUAAUACCCUGGUGUCCUGACGGUACCGGAAGAAUAAGCA